rnacentral:rRNA from 1 species
GGCGAAUGCUGGCGGCGUGCUUAACACAUGCAAGUCGAACGGUAAGGCCCUUCGGGGUACACGAGUGGCGAACGGGUGAGUAACACGUGGGUGAUCUGCCCUGCACUUCGGGAUAAGCCUGGGAAACUGGGUCUAAUACCGGAUAGGACCACUGCCUGCAUGGGUGGGGGUGGAAAGCUUUUGCGGUGUGGGAUGGGCCCGCGGCCUAUCAGCUUGUUGGUGGGGUGAUGGCCUACCAAGGCGACGACGGGUAGCCGGCCUGAGAGGGUGACCGGCCACACUGGGACUGAGAUACGGCCCAGACUCCUACGGGAGGCAGCAGUGGGGAAUAUUGCACAAUGGGCGCAAGCCUGAUGCAGCGACGCCGCGUGAGGGAUGACGGCCUUCGGGUUGUAAACCUCUUUCAGCACCGACGAAGCGCAAGUGACGGUAGGUGCAGAAGAAGGACCGGCCAACUACGUGCCAGCAGCCGCCGUAA